UACAGGGGGGGCAAGCGUUGUUCGGAAUUACUGGGCGUAAAGGGUCUGUAGGUGGCUUGCUAAGUCAGACGUGAAAUCCCUCAGCUUAACUGGGGAACUGCGUCUGAUACUGGCGAGCUUGAGUGCAGGAGAGGAACGCGGAAUUCCAGGUGUAGCGGUGAAAUGCGUAGAUAUCGGGAGGAACACCUGUGGCGAAAGCGGCGCACUGGACCACAACUGACGCUGAGGCGCGAAAGCAUGGGGAGCGAACAGG
rnacentral:rRNA from 1 species